GCCAGCCGCCGCGGUAAUACCGGCAGUCCGAGUGAUGGCCGAUCUUAUUGGGCCUAAAGCGUCCGUAGCUGGCUGAACAAGUCCGUUGGGAAAUCUGUCCGCUUAACGGGCAGGCGUCCAGCGGAAACUGUUCAGCUUGGGACCGGAAGACCUGAGGGGUACGUCUGGGGUAGGAGUGAAAUCCUGUAAUCCUGGACGGACCGCCGGUGGCGAAAGCGCCUCAGGAGAACGGAUCCGACAGUGAGGGACGAAAGCUAGGGUCUCGAACCGGAUUAGAAACCCCUGUAGUCC
rnacentral:rRNA from 1 species